CGUGCUGACGUCCUCCUCCCACCACCCCCGGCCCCAAGCCGGAGGGCGGGGCCUGUUGCUCGGGCAACGGCAGAUUCCGUUUCCCUCCUUUUCCCUGCGUUCCCCCACCCCACCCCCGCCUCCGUCCCCGACCGACCAACCACCCAACCCCCCUCAGGUCACGUGAAGGAUAAAUUCGGAGCUCGCUACGCGUGUCAGAGGAGGGCGCGUGAUUCGCUCGGGGGAGGGAACGGAGGGGAGACGGCCGGGCUGAGGGGAGGGAAGGGGAAGAGGAAGGCAGGGCGGGCGGGGACCGAGGCGGCGGCCCGGCCUGUGCGCGAGCGCCCGCCGCUUUCCGGGCCGCCCGGCCGCGCCCCGCCCCGCGCUCCGCGCCCGCGCCCGCGCCGACUGCGGUCCCGGGAACGCGCGGGCGCGUGCCCGGCCUGCGCGCCGCCGGCGCUUCCGCGUCGCGCGCGUGCAGCCCCGCCUGCGCCUGGGUGGGGGAGGGGGCGGGGAGGACCCGGGUCGCCCCCCGCCACCCGCGUUCCUGGGGCUGGGGCUGCUCACCUGCAUUCCCGGGGAGCGAGCCGUCGGCCGCGCCUGCCCGCGGGCUCAGGCUGCGCUCGGAUGGACUCGCGUGCCCCCCUCGCGGGAAAAGAUGCCCACGGAGGCUGCGGCGGCGGCGGCGGCGGCGGGGGGUGGGGAAGAGGCCGCCUCCGCGCUUCAGACAUCUCAGGAAUUCCGGACGCUUCGCCCCGGUUCCGGGAUGCCCCUGCGGCCGACGCCUUGCUUAAACCCUGGCGCUCGAUCUUUGCAGCGGCGGCGCCGGCGUUCAGAAAUGACGGACGGAGCCAUCAUAAGCACUCCAGGCUUUCCCACGGAUUUCAAACCCACCCCUCACCCCCCAUCCCUUUCAGGGCGCAGCCUUCCUUCCCCAUCGGAAUGCCCCGAAAAUUAAUCUGCUCAAAGCGAUCACUGUAUCCUCUUUCAACUCCUUCAUUAUCUCUUUCACGCAACAGCUCAGUUUCCAGAUUCUCAAUUCGUCCACAAUUCUUUAUUAAUAUUCUGGCCUUUGUUUCUCUUUAUUCUGUCUGUCCCUUCCGCCUGGCUAAAUAUUGCGAAGUGUGCAUAGCCCGCCCCCCCUCCCCGCCCCCAGGCGUUAAAACCUAG
rnacentral:lncRNA from 1 species